CAUGGUGAUAUCAUCAGCCUCUUUCUGCAAGCACACGCACACUUACACAUAUCACGCAUGCAUGCUCAGUGGAGAAGCUGUGUUCACAUGUUCUAAGUGGCCACUUAACACCAGGUGUCAUCACCCUUAAUACAGCUCAUAGCUUUCAAUCAUCACUAAAGGCAGCAUUAGCGCUGUGUCGUCCUUGAGAGGUGCCUGUGAGCUGAUAAAUGAAAAAGAGAAAAGGAGGUUUGGUGUGUGCGAAAUAUUGAUGUAAAAUCGAGCACUUGAUCAUCCCACAUAGCUACUGGUUCCGCAGGGAACAAAAAGUUCAAUAGUGGUUCUGUGUAUCCUCAAGAUUUACGGAUGUGUUUUGCUGGGGUGCAGGUAUUCAGAUUGAAACCUUUGCUUGUGUUUUAUUGGCCCAUUUGUUGUUGUUGUGCCUAGCAGACCAGAUGAUAAUGAUCCACAUUAUUCACUGUUGACAUGAAUGUGCAUUCCAUGUUCAAUUGAGCCUACUGCAAAGGCAGGAGUGAGUGUUUGUGUUUCAUUGUGUAUAUAUGUCUUGUCAAAUAAGCUAUUUGUUUUUGAAAUGACUCAAUUUCUCAUCUCAACGUUAAUAUUCUUCACAUAAUUACACAACUAAUGUUUUAACAUCCUUCCCUCACAGGGUAAUCAUGUAAAAACCAUUACCAUACAUUAUAGUAUGCAAAGAGGAGGGAGUAGCCUAAUUUAUCCAUAGAUGGUUUUUCAUUGAGCUCUAAUCCCAGAGUGAUUCAUGAAUAGUUAUAACUAGAGAACAAGCAUCCCAAAAAUCAUAGGUACUGCCGCUCAGUUUAUACAUAACAUUACGCUCUAAGAUAUGUGGUUUGGCACAACAGCGCAAAAGGAUAUUUGAUGGAAAUGUUCCAAUCCCGUUUGGAAAAACAGGUAAAUUCCAGAUCAAACUGCAUUGCAGCUGCUUCACCAAAUUAAUAAAAAAGAAAGGCGGGUCGUGUCAUCCCUGCUGCGGGCAACAGAGUGAAGGUUUCCCGAACGGCGGCGGGGGUCUGCACCGAUCCGGCUGACUGAGAGCUCGCUCGUUUCCCGGGACGGUGACGCAUUUGACACACGUGCAAAUGUUUAAUCCGCUCGCAGGCGCCGAGGCCGCCAAUGCGACACUCAGCCCGCAUCCCCUUACACCAGAUCAAGCAGGACACCUCACUGAGGUGCUGUUUGUUGAAUAUUUGAGGAGUCUGCGGACAGCGCGAGUAUGUACGCAGCUUGUCUUCACACGCUCUUUGAAGAAACUCGAGAGGUGUGCAGAAAUGUCCCUCCCCAGUUUGCUUUCUGCACAGCCUGCAGGACAGCGCACAAGCCAAGACAACAGAGCUAUGAUGUCAGAUGUGAAAAUCCAGCCAGAUGCACAACCUGUCAUACUGAAGGAAAUCUGUAAAGUUUCAGCAAGUCAGCAUUAUCGAAUAAACAGACCGUGCCCAUGUAAUACUGCAUAAUAAAACCAUUUGUGUAGGAGAA